UACGUUAGUAACUUCACUUUAUGUAGCUGUUUCCAUAGUAAUCAGCGUAUUCAGCAAUUAUUUGAUUGACAAGAGAUUAACUUAAUCUCUUAGCGUUCUACCCUUUUAAUUCAGUAUAGUGUAACACUCGUUUGAAGUAAGACGAACUUUCGGGAUUAAUAUCUUUAUGUAAUUGUUUURACUGACCCGCCAACGUUGUUGACCAGAUCAUUACCAGAUUCAAUAGUGCAAGAAUAAAAAGGAUUUGCGUACUCAA